CACCACGGAUACUGUAACUUCUAAACAAACAAAAACAAUUUCAUAGUAAGUUCAUGUUGUAGACUUCGGAUAGUAGUACGUGUUGAAUGACGUAUCAAAGUACACUGCUUCUACUUAGUUUUGUAUUCUGAACAAGGUGUAUAAACUAGAUAUUAGCGACCCAAAGGACUCUAGUUAAUCACCACUCCCUAAAGUGCCUCGUACCUGGUGGUCAACCACUUAAAGACCCUGCUUUAGUGAAAUGACCCAGGUUCGAACAACCACCUUCCCGUAGUUAAGGUCCCGUCGUAUACAGUGUUUCAUCACCAACCGGUUCCAUCCGAUUACUUCUUGUCAACGUAAACUUCGUGUACCGUCUCCCACCUUGGCGCCGAUACCAGGUACUCUCCAUACCCCAUUGCCGCCGUAUAAGUAUAUUCCUCUAGCGCCCCGUUUAUUACAUCGUCGUUCUACUCGUCGCGUACUCCCGCCGGUGAUAACAAUGGGAGGAGUAACAACAACGACGGCCUUAGGAUAGUUUAUUCGGUGCUUUAACUCCAUACAUCUUCUACUUGUUUGGACUCUUGACUACUAGGUUACUUCUCAGUUUCGAAUUCUUAGUGUAUCGGCAGUCGAUACCACCGAACACCCGCCUACACAGAGUCUGGAUUCAACAACGGCGACCUGGCACCAAUGUAAGUAGGAUCGAACCUCCUUUGCCACGCCCUUCUAUACGUACACGUCCCGCUUCUUCACCUGCUUCCGGCUUCUUCGUUAGAGACGGAGGGAUAGCGACGCAGGACGAAGAGUUAUACAGUGGAAUCAGUACCGGUGGAAUCGGGAGUACGAUGACUAAACUUGGAAGGGAUGAGAAGAAGAGGACCCGACGAGCUCACGAAGUCACCCACGGAACGGCCGCUGUCCCUUCCUUCCUGGUCUCUCGGUGCUUUAACUCCAUGCGUCUUCUACUUGUUUGGACUCUUAACUACUAGGUUUCUUCUCAGUCUCGAGCUCGUAGUGUAUCGGCAUUCGAUACCACCGAACAUCCGCCUACACAGAGUCUGGUUUCAAAAACGGCGACCUGGCAACAAUGUAAGUAGGAUCGAACCUCCGUUGCCACACCCACCCAUACGUACACGUUCCGCUUCUUCACCUGCUUCCGGCUUCUUCGUUAGAGACGGAGGGAUAGCGAUGCAGUACGAGGAGUUAUACAGUGGAAUCAGUACCGGCGGAAUAGGGAGUACGACGACUAAACUUGGACGGGAUAAGAAGAGCAUCCGACGAGUUCGCGAAGUCGCCCACGGAGCGGUUGCUGUCCCUUCCUUCCUAGUAUUCACUACCGAUAUCGCGGUCCUUAAACCUUUGGUAUCGUUAACUAGAAGAAAUUUUUUGCACACACCGUUCCCUGCACAUUGGACGAAGUCCUUUCUUCUCUACCUAGUACACUCUUUUCUCUGGUCGAAACUAGGAGAUAACCUCUCUGUUAACAAAAAAACGGUUAACGGAUCAGGUAUAACAGGUACAUAAUUUUCCUACGUUUGCACACCGAGGACCUCAAACAUAAUGAGAACCUAAACCUAUACACAUGCGCGAAACAAAAAAUAAAAGGGAAAAAACGAAAGGUUAAGCCUGUACGUAGUCAAGCAUGC
rnacentral:rRNA from 1 species